rnacentral:rRNA from 1 species
UUAGAUCGGAAGCGAGAAUGUUGACAUGAGUAGCGACAAACAGGGUGAGAAACCCUGUCGCCGAAAGUCCAAGGGUUCCUGCUUAAAGCUAAUCUGAGCAGGGUAAGCCGGCCCCUAAGGCGAGGCCGAAAGGCGUAGUCGAUGGGAACCAGGUUAAUAUUCCUGGGCCAGUGGGAUGUGACGGAUCGCAGAUGUAGUUUGCCCUUAUCGGAUUGGGUGGGCUGCUGAGCGGUUCCUGGAAAUAGCCCCACAUCAGACCGUACCCUAAACCGACACAGGUGGACUGGUAGAGUAUACCAAGGCGCUUGAGAGAACCACGUUAAAGGAACUCGGCAAAAUGCCUCCGUAAGUUCGCGAGAAGGAGGCCCCAUAUGUGCGCAAGCAUGUGUGGGGGGCACAAACUAGGGGGUGGCGACUGUUUACUUAAAACACAGGGCUGUGCGAAGCCGUAAGGCGACGUAUACAGUCUGACGCCUGCCCGGUGCUGGAAGAUUAAGAGGAGGGGUGCAAGCUCUGAAUUGAAGUCCCAGUAAACGGCGGCCGUAACAAUAACGGUCCUAAGGUAGCGAAAUUCCUUGUCGGGUAAGUUCCGACCUGCACGAAUGGCGUAACGAUCUCCCCGCUGUCUCUAACGUGGACUCAGCGAAAUUGAACUGUCUGUCAAGAUGCAGACUACCCGCGGUUAGACGGAAAGACCCCAUGAACCUUUACUCCAGCUUUGCAUUGGCAACAGGACUGUGAUGUGCAGGAUAGGUGGUAGGCAUUGAAGCGGGGACGCCAGUCUUCGUGGAGCCUCCCUUGAGAUACCACCCUUCGCCGUCUUGUUGUCUAACCGCGACCCGUUAUCCGGGCCCGGGACCGUGCAUGGUGGGGAGUUUGACUGGGGCGGUCGCCUCCCAAAUUGUAACGGAGGCGCGCGAUGGUUGGCUCAGACCGGUCGGAAAUCGGUCGUUGAGUGCAAUGGCAGAAGCCAGCCUGACUGCAAGACUGACAAGUCGAGCAGAGACGAAAGUCGGUCAUAGUGAUCCGGUGGUCCCAAGUGGGAGGGCCAUCGCUCAACGGAUAAAAGGUACUCUGGGGAUAACAGGCUGAUGAUGCCCAAGAGUCCAUAUCGACGGCAUCGUUUGGCACCUCGAUGUCGGCUCAUCUCAUCCUGGGGCUGGAGCAGGUCCCAAGGGUACGGCUGUUCGCCGUUUAAAGAGGUACGUGAGCUGGGUUUAGAACGUCGUGAGACAGUUCGGUCCCUAUCUGCCGUGGGUGCAGGAGACUUGAGAAGAGUUGACCCUAGUACGAGAGGACCGGGUUGAACGAACCACUGGUGGACCAGUUAUCGUGCCAACGGUAGUGCUGGGUAGCUAUGUUCGGACAGGAUAACCGCUGAAGGCAUCUAAGCGGGAAGCCCCCUUCAAAACAAGGUCUCCCUUGAGGGCCGUGGAAGACGACCACGUCGAUAGGCCAGAGGUGUAAGCGCAGCAAUGCGUUCAGCUGACUGGUACUAAUUGCCC